rfam:Puccinia triticina 1-1 BBBD Race 1 supercont2.9107, whole genome shotgun sequence.
GCGUCUGUAGCCUAGUUGGUAAAGGCAGCACACUAGUAUGUGUCUCAGCAUAGCUGAGGUUGUGAGUUCGACUCUCACCAGAAACA